rnacentral:rRNA from 1 species
AGAGAAUAGAUACCCCGGUAGUCCUAGCCCUAAACGAUGCUCGUUAGAUGUGGGGAGGUAUCGACCCCUUCCGCGUCGUAGCUAAACGCAUUAAACGAGCCGCCUGGGGAGUACGGCCGCAAGGUUGAAACUCAAAGGAAUUGACGGGGGCCCGCACAAGCGGUGGAGCAUGUGGUUUAAUUCGACGCAACGCGAAGAACCUUACCUGGGCUUGAACUACUCGUGGUAGCUCGCUGGAAACAGUGAGCGACCCGCAAGGGAGCGAGCAGAGGUGCUGCAUGGUUGUCGUCAGCUCGUGUCGUGAGAUGUUGGGGUUAAGUCCCGCAACGAGCGCAACCCCUAUCCAAUGUUGCUAAUCCCGCAAGGGAUGCACUCUUUGGAAAC